UUACUAUUUUACAAAACACCGGCGUUUUAUUUGUGCCUUGUAAUGCAUAUCUCGUCAUGAUUCGCACCAAAAACGCUGUCCCAUGCAAAUUUCGCUGCCAACGUGAUGAAGUGAGAAAUUGACACAAUUGUUUCCUAGUAUACGAACCUGUCAAAAACCCGGUUCGGGACGGUCUGCGUCAAGCGCCCACUUCAAUCAGCUGACGGACGCCCGUGCCAGUUGUCUCGAUUAUCUCAGACAGCGAUUCCCAUUUUGCCCGGUUAUUUUGUAAUUUCACUCGCCUAACAAGGAAACGGUCAAUUCUUCGGCUUGCAUAACACAGUCCGAUAUUAUUCUAACGUUAACAAUAGUGUUAUAGCCCGGAAAAAGAAUGCUGGCUAGAAUUUUAUUAGCAGCUGUGCUGUGUGUGCUGGCGGUGGACGGUUCCUUGUUUGGCAAACUGCAGAGGGUCAAACGGGACGGUGACGGUUAUGGGUAUGGUUAUGGCGGAUACGGUUACCCGUCGCCAUAUGGAUACGGAGGAUACGGCGGCGGUGCUAACAAUGCCCUUUUAACCAGCCUCAUGUUGGGAUCACUCACGGGACGCCAGAGUACUGGCACCAGCAAUACGGCUGCCUUGGCCGCACUCGCUCCGCUUUUGUCGCAACCCUCUUAUAUGGGAAUGGGAAUGCCGUACUAUGGCGGAAGAAGUUACGGAGGAAGAGGGGAUUAGCCGGCAAAAAGAUGGACUACUUGCUUGUUACGCCACGAAUUGUAUACGCAUAAGAUUGGGUUAAAAGGUUGUUAAAAUCACUAUACUACUUUCAGCAGUCUAGUUUUAUUUAUGGAUGCAUAGCAAAGCACUUCCCACUGUCAAAAACCGCAUUUAUUUUGUUGUUGAUUUCCUUUGUGGUUUUUGCCUAACAUUAUUCUGCAUGAACGAAAUGUACUCUAAUUCGGAUUGCAUUAAUCAAAAAAUGAAUAACUGCUGUAUAAGAGA